GAGCCCUGCUGUGACAAGCCAUCCAGGAACAAAAUAUCGUAACAGGGGUUGUGCAGGUUUUCAUCUAGAACUGGCUUCAGGUCUGAUAUCCAAAACAGUAUGCCAUGUCAUGCCAUCUUUGUCCUUGCCAUUGCAGUAGACAGCUACGGUUAGAACACAAGGUGUUGGUGUUCCUCGGGCCCACUCCUCUCAGAUCCCAUGUGUUGUGGAGGUGUGUUACCAGCCAAGCCAUCAGUGACGCUACAGACCCUGUGGACAACUUCAGAGGGAUCCAGCAUGCACAAAGGAGAUAAACCAACUGGAACUGGAUCUUUUUCACUCUGUGUUUUUGAGGUUUGCAUUCGGCAGUAGGUAUUUCUUCAUAUUCUACAGUUACUUGCAGUCAUUUCACUGAAGUAAAACAAGGACUAUAUUUCGCAAUGAAUCCUUUAAAACAUUAUAUAACAGAGUAAAAUCUCUUGUACGGAGAAUGUUUCU